GAUCCUGGCUCAGGAUGAACGCUAGCUACAGGCUUAACACAUGCAAGUCGAGGGGCAGCAUUUUAGUUUGCUUGCAAACUGAAGAUGGCGACCGGCGCACGGGUGAGUAACACGUAUCCAACCUGCCGAUAACUCGGGGAUAGCCUUUCGAAAGAAAGAUUAAUAUCCGAUGGUAUAUUAAGAUCGCAUGGUUUUACUAUUAAAGAAUUUCGGUUAUCGAUGGGGAUGCGUUCCAUUAGUUUGUUGGG
rnacentral:rRNA from 1 species